GGCCUGUGUGCUUCAGUACUGAGCUUCUCUCACUCCGGAUGCAUCUAUUAAAGUUUGAAGUUGCCCCAAUUUAAUUCUGGAUAGCAGCGGGUAAGAUCACUGUAGAUUUAAUGCAGUCUGACAGGACGUUAUGUCUCAGCGCUAACAGCGAGACCGUCUGUGGUCCAUUCUUGUUGAAACUGCCAGUUACUCGGAAUGCAAUGGCUGUUAUAUUUGUUGUUAUAUAUUUGUUGGCAGAGGGAAUGUGUUUUUAGAUGAGUGCUAGAACGUGCCAAGAGCUGAAGAACGUUGGUUCCAUCUGCUUAAUUUGAGCUGUUCACAGAAACCUCGAUAUCUUGGCUCAGGACGGUCCGAGCUCCUUGGAAAUAAAAGCCGUUCUCUAGAGUAUAUUACAAGUGGCACCUGUCAAGGAGUGGGAUAUAUUUAAUAGGCAGCAAGUGAACAGUCAGUUCUCGAAGUAGACGUGUUGGAAGCAGGAAAAAUGGGCAAGCGUAACGAUGUGAGCGACUCUGACAUGGGCCAAAUUGUGUCUGGGUCAGAGUAUCUCCAAAACGGAAGGACUUGUGUGGUGUUCCCGGGAUGCAGUGGUUAGUACCUACCAAAAGUGGUCCAAGGAAGGACAACCUGUGAACCCGGUGACAGGGUCAUGGGCACCCAAGGCUCAGUGAUGAGCUUGGGGAGCGAAGGUUAACCCGUUUAGUCUUGAUAGAAAGGAGUCAGAACACACAGUGCAUCACAGCUUGGUGAGUAUGGGACUAUGUAGCUGCAGACCAGUCAGAGUGCCCAUGCUGACCCCCGUCCACCACCGAUAGCACCUACAAUGGGCACGUGAGCAUCAGAACUGGACCAUGGAGCGAUGGAAGAAGGUGGCCUGGUCUGAUGAAUCACGUUUUCUUUUACAUCGUGUGGACGGCCAGAAAACCUCGGGUCCUGGCGUUCAUGUGGAUGUUACUUUGACACAUUCCACCUACCUAAACAUUGCUGCAGACCAAGUACACGCCUUCAUGGCAACAAAAUUCCUUAAUAGCAGCGGCCUCUUUCAACAGUAUAAUGCGCACUGAGACACUGAAACAGUUGUUCAGGAACGGUUUGAGG
ensembl:lncRNA